UAUUCAUGUGACACAUGGCCACACUUUCCAUUAUUCUUAUCCUAUUAGAAUAGGGAAGAACCAAGAAGUUUGUUUUGUAAUCAGGAACGAUUCGACUGGAACAAAGAAAAAUAAAUACGUACCCAAUUUCAAACUCUUGUAUCUUUUCAAGUCCUAAGAGCAUAAGGAGUUAGAGCCAUUCUAGGAGGACUCCUACCACCGCCCCUUAGCAUCUGGUUAGCAUCUAUAAAUAGAUGCUCGUUGUUUAUAUUUCAUUAUCAACAUUAGCAAUUGCAAGCUUCUUUUUGCAGAUCCUUUGGAGCUUCCACGAGAAGGCAUCAAUGUUCGGAAGACGACGAGACGAGCAGGAUAAAGGGUAACUCCCAAAAGGUACAAAUACAGAUUUUGGGAGUCCGUCAACUUAGGAUUCCAUGUAGAUCAGUUGAAAGAGGCUCCAUUAUAUCGGGGCCUAGUUUUUGAUACUGUCCACUGAUAUAUAAAAAUUGUUUUGUCCAUUCAGGGGUACAGCGGGGGCCCUGUCCCGCCAUAUGUUGUCAUUAUUAUGUUUAGAGGUCUGCAGACAUGUAUAUGUGGGUUGUGUAUGUCAGUUUGAUUCAGCUGGGUCUACAUGAUAUAUGAUGUAUAUUACUAUAUUAUGGCAGCCUUAUCGGCUUGCGUGCCCUGUCAUGUUGUGAUACAAACAAAAAGGGCUACAGUUUAUGAAAAUGUUAUCGCCCAGUGGGGAUCUGUUACA